rnacentral:rRNA from 1 species
UACGAAGGAUGCGAGCGUUAUCCGGAUUUAUUGGGUUUAAAGGGUGCGUAGGCGGCCUUAUAAGUCAGUGGUGAAAUCCUAUCGCUUAACGAUAGACGUGCCAUUGAUACUGUAGGGCUUGAGUACAGAUGCCGUUGGCGGAAUGUGUCAUGUAGCGGUGAAAUGCUUAGAUAUGACAUAGAACACCAAUUGCGAAGGCAGCUGGCUACACAAAUAUUGACACUGAGGCACGAAAGCGUGGGGAUCAAACAGG